UACAGGGGUCCCAAGCGUUGUUCGGAUUUACUGGGCGUAAAGGGCGCGUAGGCGGUCAGCACAAGUCAGUUGUGAAAUCUCCGGGCUUAACUCGGAAAGGUCAACUGAUACUGUGCGACUAGAGUGCAGAAGGGGCAACUGGAAUUCUCGGUGUAGCGGUGAAAUGCGUAGAUAUCGAGAGGAACACCUGCGGCGAAGGCGGGUUGCUGGGCUGACACUGACGCUGAUGCGCGAAAGCCAGGGGAGCGAACGGG
rnacentral:rRNA from 1 species